UACUGUUCGGCUUCACCCUGCAGAAGUUUUCUUAAAUCCAUAGUAUGUUUAUUUUUAUAUAAGAUAUGCAUGUUAAUUAGCUUUUCAGGUGACCGCUGUACGCUCAAAUGCUUUCUUAUACAGUUCUAAACGUUAUAGCAUACUCCUCUAAUGCACUUAUGUUAUACAAUGCAAUGUUCAUUACAUAUGAAUAUGUCAAUUAAAACGGUUCUGUUUUCAUGUUUAACC